AAAAAGAAAAAAAUAACUCAAACCCCAAAAAUAAAGAAACUGUAGACGACAUCUUCUUAGUUAUCUCUUGUCGGCUACAUAACCUUAUGUUCUUUGUUUUGAAUCUGUUGUUUUGAUUCGCGAAAUUCUUAACAAAAAAUGAGGAAGCGCAUGCACUUGACUCAUCUUGACGGGAAGGCCCACCAAACAAAGUUACAAUCGAAGCUUUUUCGGCGAUGUUGGAAACCAAAUCUCCAAAUUCAGUAUCGAUUACAAAAAACUCUCAAUUGAAUUCAGUAAUGAGAAUUCAUCAAGGUUAGAUGUCGCGAUUCUAUUCCACAUACGAUACUCGAGUUCAUAUUUUCUCCUCCCACCGCCAUCACUGAUCAAUAUUCUCUUUCGAUGCUACCAAAGCCUAUAGAUACAAUCGAGAGGCAAUGUUGCCAAGACAAAAUGUAGGAUAAGAAUUGACAGAAACCAUAGUUCUUCAUAUGUUUACGUUCAUAACACUUGAAGACAACACCAAAAGUAUCUAUCACCGGAAAGGAUGCACUACUCUGAUGAGAAAGCAAAGCCAAGGCACAUGCUCUUUUCUUUACUUAAGAAACAGUCCCAGAGAAAAUGUGAUGCGAAGG